UACGUAGGGUGCGAGCGUUAAUCGGAAUUACUGGGCGUAAGGCGUGCGCAGGCGGUUCGUUGUGUCUGAUGUGAAAGCCCCGGGCUCAACCUGGGAAUGGCAUUGGAAACUGGCGAGCUAGAGUGUGGCAGAGGGGGGUGGAAUUCCGCGUGUAGCAGUGAAAUGCGCAGAUAUCGGAAGGAACAUCAGUGGCGAAGGCGACUUCCUGGACCAAUACUGACGCUCAGGUGCGAAAGCGUGGGGAGCAAACAGG
rnacentral:rRNA from 1 species